ACCGCAAACUUUUAAUUCCCCUGCCUCCAUCACCCUAGCGGCUGGGUGGGGCUAGGGUCCUGAACUGAUCAAAGUUCAAUCUGGAGUGACUGGAGGCCAUUUGCCACGGCAAAAAACUAGUGAAGAAGGAAGAUGAAGCAAGAGAUUGAAAAGAGAGGAUGUUGGCAACUUCUUCCCAGCACCUGGACCCAGCAAGGCCUGAUGCUCUAGGUCAAAAGCCUCCUUCCAGGGGGACAGAAUCUAGUUUGCUUUCAUGGGAUGUGGUGAGUAAAGGCCAGUUGCACCGCAUAAAAGAGGCUUCCAGAAAUACUCCUACAACGUUACAGAACCAUCAGUCACGUUUCAGUGAACACGCGUCCAAGGACCACAGGCACAGAAUUGUUGCAGGGGUGGAGGAGAGGGGUUUGAAAUGUCUGGGACCUGGAGCUAAUCUGCGGAACGUUCUUCCAAAUGUCAAAGGAGGCCUUUUAAAAUUGUAUGAGCGUCGGUCUCUGCACAACUUGGUCCUGCACCUGCGUGGGAGUUGAACACACAAGGUCUAGAACCAGACCACACAGCUUCAGGUCUCAGCUGGGCUAUCUGGACAGCUUACUUGGCCUCUCUGUGCCUCAG